rnacentral:rRNA from 1 species
CGACCGGCGCACGGGUGCGUAACGCGUAUGCAACCUACCUGUAACAGGGGGAUAACACUGAGAAAUCGGUACUAAUACCGCAUAACACUAUGAGAGGCAUCUCUUGUGGUUGAAAGUUUCGGCGGUUACAGAUGGGCAUGCGUUGUAUUAGCUGGUUGGUAAGGUAACGGCUUACCAAGGCGACGAUACAUAGGGGGACUGAGAGGUUAACCCCCCCACAUUGGUGCUGAGACACGGACCAAACUCCUACGGAAGGCAGCAG